AUCCCAGCUAAGCUAAAGAGUAUGGUGCUUAUCUGAUUCAUGGGAGGCCAAUAGAAAUUAUGUGGAAGUUUCGCUGAUAACGCCAUUAUUAUUAUCACAAAAUGGUGUAUACUAGUAGCUUUCCAUACAUUU